rnacentral:piRNA from 1 species
UCUCAAGACCCAGUCACCUACCUGUGCC